CCCUUAGAUGUUCUGGGCAGCACGCGCGCUACAAUGGUCUUCGCAAACGGAUGCAUUCUCGAAGGAGGAUGCCAAUCUUGGAAUCUAUGCCUUGGUCGGGACAGUUGCUUGCAAUUUUUCGACUCGAACCAGGAAUUCCUUGUAAUCGUGAUUCAUCACAUCACGAUGAAUACGUCCCUGCCCUUUGUACACACCGCCCGUCGCUCCUACCGAUCGAAGAGUUAGGUGAAUUGUUUUGAUCGAUAAGAUUUGACUAUGGUCAACUCUCGUUGUGAAAUUCUGUGAAUCUGACUGUUUAGAGGAGGGAAAAGUCGUAACA
rnacentral:rRNA from 1 species